rnacentral:rRNA from 1 species
UACGUAGGGGGCAAGCGUUGUCCGGAUUUAUUGGGCGUAAAGAGCGUGUAGGCGGUUUGGUAGGUCCGUUGUGAAAACUCGAGGCUCAACCUCGAGACGCCGAUGGAAACCAUCAGACUAGAGUCCGGAAGUGGAGAGUGGAAUUCCUGGUGUAGCGGUUAAAUGCGCAGAUAUCAGGAGGAACACCAAUGGCGAAGGCAGCUCGCUGGGACGUGACUGACGCUGAGACGCGAAAGCGUGGGGAGCAAACAGG